ensembl:antisense Gm3848 predicted gene 3848
GUAUGUCUCAGCAUCAGCCAGGCACUCCGUGAUCAAUGAAAGAAGACCCUAAAGGCAGACUAGACUACUAGUCUCCUUCACUGGUGUGAAUCACAUCUACUUUAGGCUCUAUGGAGAUUUCCGUCAGAAUGACCUCGCUCAGCUCAGAGGACCCGGACUCAGGACUAGAACAUGCACUGUCCUGGCUACCACAUGACAAGCUGGAACUAGAUUCCUCAGUAUGAUCUGCUUUUGUAAGACCUCCUCCCACUAAGGCUGCUGGUUUUGUCUGCUGUGUGCUAUCGUGAUAAAACUCUGAUGG